CCCUUAGAUGUUCUGGGCCGCACGCGCGCUACACUGAUGCAUUCAACGAAUCUAAAACCUGCUCUGAUAGGGGUGGGUAAUCUUUUGAAUGUGCAUCGUGAUUGGGAUAGAUGAUUGCAAUUUUUCAUCUUCAACGAGGAAUGCCUAGUAAACGCAAGUCAUCAGCUUGCAUUGAUUACGUCCCUGCCCUUUGUACACACCGCCCGUCGCUCCUACCGAUUGAAUGAUCCGAUGAAUAUCAUGGAUUGAGGAUGCAAGUAGGUUCGCCUAUCUUCAUCUUCGAGAAGUGAAGUAAAUCUUAUCAUUUAGAGGAAGGAGAAGUCGUAACA
rnacentral:rRNA from 1 species